AGCCCCCGUGGCGCAGUGGCUAGCGCGCCGUUCUUAUAUGUUAUCGUCAGAUUCAUAUGGCCAUACUCUGGUAUGCGGAUGUCGUGGGUUCGACCCCCACCGGGAGCAU